CAGUCGCCGCGGGAAUACGAAGGGUGCAAGCGUUAAUCGGAAUUACUGGGCGUAAAGCGUGCGUAGGCGGUGAGUUAAGUCUGUUGUGAAAUCCCCGGGCUCAACCUGGGAAUGGCAAUGGAUACUGGCAAGCUAGAGUGUGUCAGAGGAUGGUGGAAUUCCCGGUGUAGCGGUGAAAUGCGUAGAGAUCGGGAGGAACAUCAGUGGCGAAGGCGGCCAUCUGGGACAACACUGACGCUGAGGCACGAAAGCGUGGGGAGCAAACAGGAUUAGAUACCCCCGUAGUCCCUGUCUCUUAUAC
rnacentral:rRNA from 1 species